GAACGCUGGCGGCAGGCCUAACACAUGCAAGUCGAACGGUAACAGGAAGAAGCUUGCUCUUUGCUGACGAGUGGCGGACGGGUGAGUAAUGGUCUGGGAAACUGCCUGAUGGAGGGGGAUAACUACUGGAAACGGUAGCUAAUACCGCAUAACGUCGCAAGACCAAAGAGGGGGACCUUCGGGCCUCUUGCCAUCGGAUGUGCCCAGAUGGGAUUAGCUAGUAGGUGGGGUAACGGCUCACCUAGGCGACGAUCCCUAGCUGGUCUGAGAGGAUGACCAGCCACACUGGAACUGAGACACGGUCCAGACUCCUACGGGAGGCAGCAGUGGGGAAUAUUGCACAAUGGGCGCAAGCCUGAUGCAGCCAUGCCGCCGUGUAUGAAGAAGGCCUUCGGGUUGUAAAGUACUUUCAGCGGGGAGGAAGGGAGUAAAGUUAAUACCUUUGCUCAUUGACGUUACCCGCAGAAGAAGCACCGGCUAACUCCGUGCCAGCCGCUGC
rnacentral:rRNA from 1 species